GGGCCCUAUCCUUAUGACCUCAUUUAACCUGAAAUUACCUCCUAAAAGCAAUAUCUCCAAACACAGUCACAUUGGAGGUUAGGGCUUCAAUAUAGGAAAUUUUGGAGACACAAUUCAGUCCGUCGGAUCUCCCAUGCAGGACUCUCCUGCUCAGUGCUGGGUCCAAGUCAGAACUCUGUGUUGGUAGCCAAGUACCUGAGAGGAUCCAGCUAUAAGAAUAUUUGCUGGGCUUCAUGACAGCCCAUAUGGCUUUGCACUGGCUGCCAGAGUUUGGCUGAAUUAAUUAGAUCAAAUCAAAGAAGAGAGCCUAAUGGGAUAUUGCUUUUUGGUCCGUUUUUUCUCUCACAAGACCCAAUACUGGAUGUAAUUAAUCAGUCAUGUGACAAAAAUGGCGAAGGUUGUUUUUGUUUUGUUUUCCUUUAGUUUAGUUUAAUUUUGUGAAAGGUUUUUCUGCAAGGGCCAUGGACAAAUAUUUAACUUAGUUGCUUUUAAAGAUAAGAAUAAUGAACAUGAAGCAAAUCCAAUGAAACAAAAGAUUCUACCAGGAAUACUUCAAUAUUAGGAGCAGUCAAAGGGUAAGGAGGAGAAAGAAAGACAGAAGAAAUAAAGGAGAAAAAGAACCACAACAAAAGGAAAGGCACAAGGCAAGACUCAAGAAGAGGGAGGAAGUGCAUGAGGAGGAGAGCUGGAGAGCUCCGGAGGAAGGGCAGACACAGCAUUCAGGAAUAGAACAAUCCAGAAGGAGAGGGAAUGGCUCAGAAGCCGCAGAGACUGGCCCAAUUUUACAUCUUGCUGUUCCCACAACUAGAACAGGACUGAGUCACUCUCUCUCUGGUCCCGAAGUAAAAUGAAAUGCUGGUGGAAGGGCUGUGAUUGGUUCAACUUGGGCAAGGACAGCACUUCUGGAGCCAAGAGCCCUCAGAUAUCUGG
rnacentral:lncRNA from 1 species